rnacentral:misc_RNA from 1 species
CGCCCACUCUUUGUGGGCAGGCCAAGUAGCCUGCAGCCUGCCCAUGAGCACGGCUGUGGACUCUUGGUGCCAGCGGACAGGUGUGGGCUGGCGCUGUGCCGGUGACACCAACGGUCAUGAUGACGCUUGGACCAGCUCACUGCGGAUCAUGCCGACGAUUCAACGAAUGCGCGCAUCCACCUACUGCCUUUCUGCCUUUGCUGCGCUGCGGUGGUGCUGAGCGUGGUCCCGGGGCCUAGCCUGCGCUGUACGCAGCGGCAUUGCGGUGGGCUGAGCGGCGCCAGGCGGUGCUGGCCGGCCCUGCUGCUUGGCAUAGCCGUGGCGUGCAGCAGAUGCGGAUGAGCUGUGGUUGUGCAUGCGUGUGUGCGUUGACUUGUUCGUGGUGGACGGGCACGUAAAGGAACGCAGAAGGGAGAAACGCUUUUACCCCUCUAUGACUGUUUCAACUGGCGACGCGCUUCACCUCUGUCGGUUGUGGUGUAGCCGUUGCCAUGCAGCCAGGCGAGCGCUCGCCUCUCCUACGACUCUCUGCCUCCCUUCUCUCCGCUGAUCUCUCGCGUUCCCGCUGUCUACUUCAAG